UGGUUUGCUGUGAGUACAUUGCCAUUGUAAAAAGGUGGUUUUCCUAGGGUGAGGCUCAUCCAUUGCACUUGCAGGUGUGCUGACCCCUACGAUUUCCCCCAAAAUUGGAGAUUUGACUGCAUAAUUUCUUCCUUUAAAGGAGAAGAAGAUAAACUUCUA